rnacentral:rRNA from 1 species
GUCCACGCCCUAAACGAUGUCAACUAGGUGUUGGGUGGGUAAAACCAUUUAGUACCGUAGCUAACGCGUGAAGUUGACCGCCUGGGGAGUACGGCCGCAAGGUUAAAACUCAAAGGAAUUGACGGGGACCCGCACAAGCGGUGGAUGAUGUGGAUUAAUUCGAUGCAACGCGAAAAACCUUACCUACCCUUGACAUGUUCAGAAUCCCGGAGAGAUUUGGGAGUGCUCGAAAGAGAACUGGAACACAGGUGCUGCAUGGCUGUCGU